rnacentral:lncRNA from 1 species
GAGCAGGCAUGUUCCCAAACCUGUGGAGGACCAGCGAGGAGGGCAAUCUAUCUAGGAGGAGGUGCAGAGGCAGCCACAUGCAGUAGACUUGCAGGAUAGCACAAGAGGAGUAGUUUUGCACAAGCCGAAACGCAUUGUUCGCAAACCGAUGCGGUAUGGCAUUGAUGAGAUGAUUUCUUAUGCUCUCAUCACUAUCAAUGGAGAUCUAGAGACCUUUGAGGGGGCUAUAGAGAG